UGACCAACCAAUUUAGAGCCCAUUUUCUUCCAAAAAUAUUUGCCUUCUCAAAAUUGAAACACAUUUUACAUUGAAUUAAGUGAUGUUCUGUGAAACCAGGGCCGUUUGAUAAAAAUAGUGACUACUUUCAAGGGUCAUUAU